rnacentral:tRNA from 1 species
CGUGGCUGAGUUGUAAAGCGCUUGGCUUCCGAACCGAGGAGUCCCAGAUUCGAUUUCUGGUG